rnacentral:rRNA from 1 species
AGAAAUAUAGUAGUUGCAUUUAGCAAUAUCUAACUGGAUUGAACAUACACCGUUCGAUGAAUGCGAUUGGAGGGCAAGUCUGGUGCCAGCAGCCGCGGUAAUUCCAGCUCCAAUAGUGUAUCUUAAUGUUGUUGCUGUUAAAAAGCUCGUAGUUGAAUUUCUGGCCAUCUAGCUAAGCCAUGUGCGAGGCAGGAAGGUCAUCCGCGUUGAAAGUACGUAUGCUGAAUAAGCUGCGUGUAGAAGGCGUAUUUUACUUUGAAGAAAUUAGAGUGUUCCAGGCAAGCGAUGCUUGAAUAUUACAGCAUGGAAUAAUGGAAUAGGACUAUCCAUUCUGUUGGUUAAU